GGCAGUGUAGCAUACUGGUAAGGUGUUGGGCUUGUAACCGAAAGGUUGCUGGUUCAAUUCCCUGCCAGGGCACUGCUG
rnacentral:tRNA from 1 species